rnacentral:misc_RNA from 1 species
CUCGUGCUUCAGUCCACUCUU